UGGGGAAUAUUGCACAAUGGGGGAAACCCUGAUGCAGCGACGCCGCGUGAGCGAAGAAGGCUUUCGAGUCGUAAAGCUCUGUCCUAUGAGAAGAUAAUGACGGUAUCAUAGGAGGAAGCCCUGGCGAAAUACGUGCCAGCAGCCGCGGUAAUACGUAUGGGGCGAGCGUUGUCCGGAAUUAUUGGGCGUAAAGGGUACGUAGGCGGUUUUUUAAGUCAGGUGUCAAAGCGUGGAGCUUAACUCCAUUAAGCACUUGAAACUGAAAGACUUGAGUGAAGGAGAGGAAAGUGGAAUUCCUAGUGUAGCGGUGAAAUGCGUAGAUAUUAGGAGGAAUACCGGUGGCGAAGGCGACUUUCUGGACUUUUACUGACGCUCAGGUACGAAAGCGUGGGGAGCAAACAGG
rnacentral:rRNA from 1 species